rnacentral:rRNA from 1 species
AGUGAACGCUGGCGGUAGGCCUAACACAUGCAAGUCGAACGGCAGCACAGUAAGAGCUUGCUCUUACGGGUGGCGAGUGGCGGACGGGUGAGGAAUACAUCGUAAUCUACUUUUUCGUGGGGGAUAACGUAGGGAAACUUAAGCUAAUACCGCAUACGACCUACGGGUGAAAGGAGUGGAUCUUCUGACCUUGCGCGAUUGAAUGAGCCGAUGUGGGAUUAGCUAGUUGGCGGGCUAAAGGCCCACCAAGGCGCCGAUCCGUAGCUGGACUGAGAGGAUGGUCGCCCGCACGGGAACGGAGACGCCGUCCAGACGACUACGAGAGGCAGCAGUGUGGAAUAUGGGGCAAUGGGCGCAAGCAUGGCCCAGCCAGACCGAGUGGGUGAAGGAGGCGUUCGGGUUGUAAUGCCCUCUUGUUGGGUAAGAAAAGCAGCAGGUUAAUACCACGCUGUUCUGACGGUACCCGGUGAAGAAGCACCGGCUAACUUCGUG